CUUAUUCAAACCCCCCAUGGGGGUGGGGCGUUCUGGAGAGCAUCCUCCGUAUUCAUCGUUACUUACAACAGGAUUUGCCUAUGAAUUUUCUUUCUGAUUGUUCCUCCUUUUAGUGACCAAGAGAGAACAAUAGGACUCAUCCACUUGGGCAAGGGAAGGAAGGGAGACAGGAAGAGCAAACGCUACCAGCAUCAGACACCUGUGCCGAGAUAACAAAAGGUCCGAGGAGUCCCAGAAGGAGACAAAAAAAAUAGCGUUGAAAGAAUAUUGGCAGAAACAUUGGCAGAACAUUCAGAAAUGUGGCUAAAUGCAGAAACCAACAGAUUGAACAAGCUUCAAAAACCCCAACCGGAAUACAUCUCGCAAUUCCCCUAGAUCUUCCUGGAUAAUCCGAGAUAAAGUCCCCGUGACAGCUAAUCUCGGUUGUCGACUUGAUACAUUGGGAGGAAGGAGCCUUGAGUGAAGGAUGCUGCUCUCAGAUUGGCCCCUGGACACAUCUGUGGGGGCAUUUCCUUUAUUGUUAAUCGACAUGGGUGAGUUCAGCGCACUGAGCCGGGUGGAUGGGCUUGGGCUACAUAGGAAAGACAGACAGCCAGUGAAGAGCGUGGCUUUAUGUUUUCUGCUUCAAGCUGCUGCCUUAACUUCCUGCAUUGGCCUCUCUCAAUGAUGGAUUGUAACUAUACAGAUGAAAUAAAUGCUUUCUCCUU
rnacentral:lncRNA from 1 species